UUCCAACGGCUAUUAGCCUACAAAAUUACAYACAAGUCCUUGGUUAACUCUUUCCCUCAAAAAACUACUUCCCUUAGGCUAGCCCUUUGGCUCCACAAAACCAAAAAAACACCUUUUUCACACUUGUUAACCAAAAACUUUUACAGGUUUCUGCAAGGCAAACGUUCUCAACGCUACUUGUGCUACAAUCCUUUCAACAUUCGAAUGAUGGCACAGUCGCUGAUAACUUCASAACCGCACCUUUCUUCGUGCAGUGCUAAUUGCAACCUUCYACGGRCUUCAUGAUGUCCUCAGGUUACCUUGCAGAAACAUGCAAACUGCCGAGGCCAACCUCAGACAGCUGAUGGMCUGCCGAGGUAGACUGGACUAAAUAUUGAUGAUAUGCACAAGUCAAACACUCGCUCUCCCUUGCACCUCAACGCCUUCAAAUGCAUUUACUGUUUACAAAACAUUGCCUUUCCAAACCACUACUAUCUUCCAACAUUACAAGGUAUAAGUACAUAAUUUAUUCAUUUUCUACCUUUCAAAAAAAAUUCUCAUUACAAAAAGGACAAUCACAACAAGCCUCUCUUUCAACUAUGAAUAAACCAUGUCAACAAAGGAGAAAGCUUCACUUUCAAAUGCAUCAUAGUCAGAACACAAGGUCAAAGCACCAUCAAUUGGUCGUGACAACAGGACAAAAAUAUAGCUGACGUGGAAUACUAAUUAUCUGUGUUAUAUGAACAAUUCUAAUGUACUCUUGGGAUCAAAUAUUAGUGGCUUUCUUGUUUGUUUGCAACUCUCUCACUUUGUCCUUUCCUUGUAGAGUUGCUACUACUUAUACAAAUUGGGUUAAUCUAUCCAUUCCCAUCUAAAGAGAAUUAUUUUAUUUCAAUAAAAU